rnacentral:rRNA from 1 species
AGCGAACGCUGGCGGCAGGCCUAACACAUGCAAGUCGAACGGAUCCUUCGGGAUUAGUGGCGGACGGGUGAGUAACACGUGGGAACGUGCCUUUUGGUUCGGAACAACUCAGGGAAACUUGAGCUAAUACCGAAUGUGCCCUUCGGGGAAAGAUUUAUCGCCAUUAGAGCGGCCCGCGUCUGAUUAGCUAGUUGGUGGGGUAAAGGCUCACCAAGGCUACGAUCAGUAGCUGGUCUGAGAGGAUGAUCAGCCACAUUGGGACUGAGACACGGCCCAAACUCCUACGGGAGGCAGCAGUGGGGAAUCUUGCGCAAUGGGCGAAAGCCUGACGCAGCCAUGCCGCGUGAAUGAUGAAGGUCUUAGGAUUGUAAAAUUCUUUCACCGGGGACGAUAAUGACGGUACCCGGAGAAGAAGCCCCGGCUAACUUCGUG